UACGUAGGGGGCUAGCGUUGUCCGGAUUUAUUGGGCGUAAAGAGCGUGUAGGCGGCUUCACAGGUCCGCUGUGAAAACUCGAGGCUCAACCUCGAGCUGUCGGUGGAAACCGUGUGGCUAGAGUCCGGAAGGGGAGAGUGGAAUUCCCGGUGUAGCGGUGAAAUGCGCAGAUAUCGGGAAGAACACCCGUGGCGAAGGCGGCUCUCUGGGAUGGUACUGACGCUGAGACGCGAAAGCGUGGGGAGCGAACAGG
rnacentral:rRNA from 1 species